AUUGAACGCUGGCGGAAUGCUUUACACAUGCAAGUCGAACGGCAGCACGGGGGCAACCCUGGUGGCGAGUGGCGAACGGGUGAGUAAUACAUCGGAACGUGCCCGGUCGUGGGGGAUAACGUAGCGAAAGUUACGCUAAUACCGCAUACGAUCUGAGGAUGAAAGCGGGGGACCUUCGGGCCUCGCGCGAUCGGAGCGGCCGAUGUCAGAUUAGGUAGUUGGUGGGGUAAAGGCCUACCAAGCCGACGAUCUGUAGCUGGUCUGAGAGGACGACCAGCCACACUGGGACUGACACACGGCCCAGACUCCUACGGGAGGCAGCAGUGGGGAAUUUUGGACAAUGGGCGCAAGCCUGAUCCAGCCAUUCCGCGUGCAGGACGAAGGCCUUCGGGUUGUAAACUGCUUUUGUAUGGAACGAAAAGGCUCUGGCUAAUACCUGGGGCUCAUGACGGUACCGUAAGAAUAAGCACCGGCUAACUACGUG
rnacentral:rRNA from 1 species